rnacentral:ncRNA from 1 species
GCAUUGUAUGGCUUCUAAACCAUUAAAAGUUUUUUAUUUAUUUUACUAACGACAAUGGAUGUGAUGCCAAUGUUAUUUAUAACAUAGUAAAUUGGGAGGAUCUUCGAUCAUCUGAUGCCGCGCUAGUUAUAUUUGAAAACAUUAUUUAAUACAAUGUCAAAGCCUAGAAUCAAUUGUAAACGACUUUUGUAACAGGCAAGGUGUUGUAAGUGGUUGAGCAGCUGCCAUACUGCGAUCCACUAAAGCUUAUCUUUUGCUUGAUGAUUC